AGGAACCAGGACCUUAUUACAGAACCUAAUUACUACUUGAAUAGGAGACCUCUCAGAUGAAUGGUGAGCUCCCAUAAUGGAAAAUUCCAAAGGCGGGUCCUCUAUCUACUAUCAGAUAUUUGUGCAAAGCUGUCAGAGUUGGGCCAAAACCGUGAGCCCUCAGAGUCUCAGUUCCACCUUGAAAAGAUGAACAGCAGGCGUGAGCUGAAAAAUCUGGAAGGGCAACUGGCAGAUGAAGAAAAGAGGAAUGUGAUGGUGUCCCGGUUAGUCAGGAUUGGGGGUGCAGAUCUUGAGGACUGCGUGAAAAAUUUAAUGAAAAGAGUUCUUACAAUAUGGAUGGCUCAGGGGUGGCUCAGGGGUGAAGAAGGCCUUUGGAAAAAUACGGCUAUAUCGUGUUAUAAUAGGUACUACAUUACUUUUUUUGUAUGAUUAGAGGAUGUACUGUUGUAUCUAUCCAGUGUUCCCAAUUGUGCAGCAAACUUUUAGCCAUCACAGAUGCACAGUGGCAAUACUGUUAGGGUGUAACAAAUAAUUGUGCAAUUAUUAUGCUCAGUUUCUCAAUGAGUUACUGUCAAAUGCUACCACAUCCAAAAGCCAGAGUGUGCUCUUAUGCAUAAACUCAAAAUAUGCACAGUUUCUACAAAUGUUCAGACAAUAUUAAAAGCACAGGUUUUAAAUGUGUGAAUUCUGUUAUACCUAUGCCAGUUUUAGUUAAAGGGAUACUCCAUUGAUGUGGGGGUAUGGGACGGCAAAAGGGCAAAUCAGCAGUUGAUGUCUGUUCAGAUUCUGAAUAGGCCUAUAAUCAAUUGUUUAUCUACAAUGUUUUUGUUGUUAAUUUGUGAUAUGAUCCCACAUGGUGAAAUAUAAAAUAAAGGACAAAUACAAAAAAAAAUGCAGUUUCAAGCUCUUACGAAAGUGAUUUUA